UAGGGAAUCUUCGGCAAUGGGGGGAACCCUGACCGAGCAACGCCGCGUGAGUGAAGAAGGUUUUCGGAUCGUAAAGCUCUGUUGUUAAGGAAGAACGAGUGUGAGAAUGGAAAGUUCAUACUGUGACGGUACUUAACCAGAAAGGGACGGCUAACUACGUGCCAGCAGCCGCGGUCAUACGUAGGUCCCGAGCGUUGUCCGGAUUUAUUGGGCGUAAAGCGAGCGCAGGCGGUUAGAUAAGUCUGAAGUUAAAGGCAGUGGCUCAACCGGGGGGGGGCAUUGGAAACUGGUUGACUUGAGUGCAGAAGAGGGGAGUGGAAUUCCAUGUGUAGCGGUGAAAUGCGUAGAUAUAUGGGGGAACACCAGUGGCGAAGGCGACUCUCUGGUCUGUAACUGACGCUGAGGCUCGAAAGCGUGGGUAGCAAACAGG
rnacentral:rRNA from 1 species